CACAAAGAGAAGCGAGACGGAGACGUUAAGCGAAACCCAAAAAAGUAAGUCUCAGUUCGGAUUGAAGGCUGAAAUUCGCCUUCAUGAAGCCGGAAUUGCUAGUAAUGGCAGGUCAGCAUACUGCCGUGAAUACGUUCCCGGGCCUUGUACACACCGCCCGUCACACCAUGAGAGUUGGGAAUACCCGAAGCCUGUGAGCUAACGUAAGAGGCAGCAGUCGAAGGUAGAAUCAAUGAUUGGGGUGAAGUCGUAACAAGGUACC
rnacentral:rRNA from 1 species